CAGUCGCCACGGUAAUACGUAGGGUGCAAGCGUUAAUCGGAAUUACUGGGCGUAAAGCGUGCGCAGGCGGUUAUAUAAGACAGAUGUGAAAUCCCCGGGCUCAACCUGGGAACUGCAUUUGUGACUGUAUAGCUAGAGUACGGCAGAGGGGGAUGGAAUUCCGCGUGUAGCAGUGAAAUGCGUAGAUAUGCGGAGGAACACCGAUGGCGAAGGCAAUCCCCUGGGCCUGUACUGACGCUCAUGCACGAAAGCGUGGGGAGCAAACAGGAUUAGAUACCCCUUUAGUCCCUGUCUCUUAUAA
rnacentral:rRNA from 1 species